rnacentral:rRNA from 1 species
GACAGAGGGGGCAAGCGUUGUCCGGAAUUAUUGGGCGUAAAGAGCUCGUAGGCGGUCUGUCGCGUCUGCUGUGAAAUCUCAGGGCUUAACCCUGAGCUUGCAGUGGGUACGGGCAGACUAGAGUGCGGUAGGGGAGACUGGAAUUCCUGGUGUAGCGGUGAAAUGCGCAGAUAUCAGGAGGAACACCGGUGGCGAAGGCGGGUCUCUGGGCCGUAACUGACGCUGAGGAGCGAAAGCAUGGGGAGCGAACAGG